rnacentral:lncRNA from 1 species
CAGCCUAGAUUUACCAGGUUAUUACUAAAUAAACUGUUCACCAUCUGGGACCAUUCAACAGUCUAGAUUUACCAGGUUAUUACUAAAUAAACUGUUCACCAUCUGGGACCAUUCAACAGUCUAGAUUUACCAGGUUAUUACUAAAUAAACUGUUCACCAUCUGGGACCAUUCAACAGUCUAGAUUUACCAGGUUAUUACUAAAUAAACUGUUCACCAUCUGGGACCAUUCAACAGUCUAGAUUUACCAGGUUAUUACUAAAUAAACUGUUCACCAUCUGGGACCAUUCAACAGCCUAGAUUUACCAGGUUAUUACUAAAUAAACUGUUCACCA